rnacentral:rRNA from 1 species
GAUGAACGCUGGCGGCGUGCCUAAUACAUGCAAGUCGAGCGAACAGACGAGGAGCUUGCUCCUCUGACGUUAGCGGCGGACGGGUGAGUAACACGUGGAUAACCUACCUAUAAGACUGGGAUAACCUCGGGAAACCGGAGCUAAUACCGGAUAAUAUAUUGAACCGCAUGGUUCAAUAGUGAAAGACGGUUUUGCUGUCACUUAUAGAUGGAUCCGCGCCGCAUUAGCCAGUUGGUAAGGUAACGGCUUACCAAGGCAACGAUGCGUAGCCGACCUGAGAGGGUGAUCGGCCACACUGGAACUGAGACACGGUCCAGACUCCUACGGGAGGCAGCAGUAGGGAAUCUUCCGCAAUGGGCGAAAGCCUGACGGAGCAACGCCGCGUGAGUGAUGAAGGUCUUCGGAUCGUAAAACUCUGUUAUUAGGGAAGAACAAAUGUGUAAGUAACUAUGCACGUCUUGACGGUACCUAAUCAGAAAGCCACGGCUAACUACGUG